UGUCCAGUAGCACCUUAGAGACCAACUAAGUUUGUUCUUGGUAUAAGUUUUCGUGUGCAGAUCUGAAGAAGUGUGCAUGCACACGAAAGCUCAUCCCAAGAACAAACUUAGUUGGUCUCUAAGGUGCUACUGGACA